UAUGGUGGGGGACCUUCUUCGCCCAUCAAGUACUGGCAACAUAGGGCGUUGAGAAGUUUUGUGAAAGAGUGAGGAGGGUGGGGAAUGCAGGGAGAGACAGAAUAUGAAGGUGUCAAAAGUAGGGAGAGGGAAAUAUAUUUUAUUUUCAUUCAUGUGGAAGACCAGUCUUAGCUUAAGAGAUGUGCUAAAAUCACUGGAGAUCAAUGGAGGAUCUCUUCUUUUUUGUAGAUGUGUAUAAUUGCGGGGCUCUGGUGGCAAAGUGGUUAAGAGCUUGGCUGCUAACCAAAAGGUCGGCACUUCAAAUCCACCGCCUACUCCUUAGAAACCCUAUAGGGUAGUUCUACUGUGUCAGAUACGGUUGCCAUGUCAGAUACGGUUGCUAUGAGUCAGAAUUGACUUGAGGGCAACAGGUUUGGUUUUGGUUUUGGUGUGUAAUUGCAUCAGAAAGCAGAUAAUGGACUUGAACAUGGCACACAGAACCUUGGUGGCUCAGUGGGUAAGAGCUUUGCUGUUAACCAAAAGGUCAGCAGUUGGAAUCCACCAGCUGCUCCUUGGAAACCCUACGGGGAAGUUCUACUCUGCCCUAUAGGGUCGCUAUGAGUUGGAAUCCACGCGACAACAAGAUUCUAUAUGUAAGAUAUUUUUCAGAGAACCUGGCCCUGGAGCAUGCACAGACAUCUGCAAGGUGACCGACCGAUGACUUCUGCCUGAUGCAAGUACCUGUGAUAAAAAUCAAACUGGCACCACAGGAGGGACUGUGCAGGCACGACACCCCAUAUUAAGUCUUGCUACCCAGUCCUAGGAGGCUUUGCUAUAGGUUCCAUCUUGGAUUCCAGAUGUGCGUGCAACCUACUUUAGCAUGCACCACCAUUCUGAGAUGUAUGCACUCCUUGAAAGAAACCUACUAAAUAUUCAUUACUCAAUUUUCCUUGCCAAACCCAUAUAAGCCCCAGCAAACCUUUGUUCUGGGGAACAGAGGCUAGCAUUGCUCGGUCCCUCUCUGUCUCCUGUUCACAAUCUGUUGCUAAUAAACCUUGGUUCGUGUGGAACCUCUGAGCCUCCCCUGUUCAUUCUUGUUCAGUAGAAGGCAAGAACCUAGGCAGGGCUUAGUCCUGAGCCGGGAAGCCUUGCCCUGCAACACAACCAUCCCAACUGUCCCAGUUAUCCCCUUUGAGGUCUAGACAUAUGAGCAAGCUCAGCUCAGAACAGCUAAAACCUGUGAGACAUGAAGGAUUGUUCAACUGAGCCCUACUAAAUGUCCAACCUGAAGAAACGUGAAAUCCAGUAAAUCAUUUUAGUUUUAAGCCACUCAGUGCUUUGUUGCCCAGCAAAAGCUAAAUGAUACGCACAUUCUAACCUUUACAAGUCUGAUGUAUCCAUUCUCCAGCUGCUGUGAUGUUGCUGAGGGCCCAGAGCUGCUCUCUACUUGACAGAACUGCUUUGCAAGGAGGUUAAACUCUCACCCCAGGGUGGUUCACAACAAAUGACUGACAGGAGGAUACAAAAGGCCAACCUUUUGCAGCAAGGUGGAACCAACUCUGGUGCAAUUCAUGCUCCAAUGCUUCCCUGUGGGAGCAGGCUACAGCUAGUUUCCAUGUGAAACACUGCUCAGCUUGUUUAGCUUCUUUCCCUGCCCUAUCUCGGUUCCUUCACUCCCCUUCCCCCGCAACCAGUUCCUGAUCUUAGGGGGUAAACCUUUGGUCUUUCUCUAUUAAGUAUGAUGUUUGCUCUGAUUUUUAAAAUUUUGCUGUUGUUAAUACACACAGCAAAACAUACACCAAUUCGACAGUUUCUACAUGUACAAUUCAAUGACAUUGAUUACAUUCUUCCAGUUGUGAACUAUUCUCAUCCUCCUUUUCUGAUUUGUUCCCCCCCAUUAACGUAAAAACACUGUGGGUUUUUUAAAUAAAUGCCCUCUAUGUUGAGGAAUUUCUCUACUAUUCCUAUUUGGCCAAGUUUUUAUUUUUUUAAUCAUGAAAGGGUGUUGGGUUUUGUCAAAUGCCUUUUCUGUGUUGAGACGAUCCUGUGGCUCAUUUCUCCAUUUAAUUAAUGUGGUGGAUUAUGCUAAUUAAUUCUCUUAUGUUUAGCUAUCCUUGAAUUCCUGGAAUAAAUCUCACAUGGUCAUGGCAUAUAAUCCUUUUAAUAUGCUGUUGGCUUCAGUUUGCUAGUAUUUAGUUGAGGACUUUUGCAUCUAUAUUCAUAAGAAAUAUUGGUCUAUAGCUUUAUUUUCUUGUGGUGUCUUUAUCUGGCUUUGGUUAUCAGGGAAACAUGAGCCUCACAGAAUAAAUGAAGAAGUGUUCCCUCCAUUUCUUGGUAGGGCUUGAGAAGAGCUGAUACUGAUUCUUUUUAAAUACUUGCUAGAAUUCACCAGAAAGCCAUCUGGUACUAGAUUUUUCUUUGUUGGGAAGUUUUUGAUCAGUUUCAAUCUCUUCCCUUGUUACAUGUUUGUGAGAUUAUGUCUUCUUGAGUCAAUUUAGGUAGUUUGUAUGUUUCUAGGAAUUUAUCCAUUUCUCUUAGGUUAUCUGCUUUUGUGGCAUACAAUUGUUCCUUAUAUAUUUUAAUUUCUGUAAGGUCAGUAGUAAUGUUCCACUUUCAUUUCUGAUCUUAGUUACUAGCAUCUUCUAUCUUGUUUUCUUCCUCAGUCUACUAGGGGUUUUCAACUCUAUUGACGUUUUCAAAGAACCAACUUUUGUUUUCAUUGAUUCUCUUUGUGUUUUGUUGACUUCUUUUGUAGCCUUUAUUGCUCCUCCUUUUCUAGUUUCUCAGGGUGUUAAAGUUAGGUUGUCGAUUUGAUCUCUUUCUUCUUUUUUAACUUGUUUACAGCUAUAAAUUUCCCUGAGUACUGCCUUUGCUAUAUCCCAUAGGUUUUGGUAUCUUGUGCUUUCAUUUUCAUUCGUCUCUAAGUAUAUCUUGGUUUCCCUCAAUAUUUGUUCUUUGAUGGAUUGAUUGGUUAACAGUGUGUUGUUUAAUUUCCACAGUUUCGUGAAAUUUCCAGUUUUCCUACUAUUAUUGAUUUCUGGUUUUAUUCCACUAGGGUUGGAAAGGAUACUUUGUAUAAUUUCAAUAUUUUUAAAUUUCUUGAGGCUUUCUUUGUGGCCUGACAUAUGGUUUAUUCUGGAGAACGAGCCAUGUACAUUGGAGAGGAAUGUAUAUCCUGCUGUAAUUGGGUGAAGUGUUCUACAAAUGUCCAUUAGGUCUGUUGAUUUAGUGUCGUUCAGGUGUUCUAAUUACUUGUUAAUCUUCUCUCUGUGUGUUCUAUUCCUUAUUAAAAGUGGUGUGGUGAAGUCACCAACAAUUACUGUACAACUGCUUAUUUCUCCCUUCAGUUCUGUCAAUGUUUGUUGCACACAUUUUGGGGUCCUGCUUUUAGGUGUAUAUAUAAUUAUUAUCUCUCCAUGACAAACUGAUCCUUUCGUCAUUAUAUCAUGUCCUUCUUUACUUCUUAUGGAGUCCCUGGGUGAUGCAACAGUUAACACUCUCAGCUAGUAAUCGAAAGGUUGGAGGUUCAAGUCCAUCCAAAGGCAAUUCAAAAGAAAGACCUCGUGAUCUGCUUCUGAAAGAUCACAAAUUGAAAACCCUAAAGAGUACACUUCUUUGAUACACAUGGGGUCUCCACAGGUUGAAAUCAACUUGGUAGCAACUGGUUUUUGUUUUGCUUUUCUCUCUUAUAACUGGUUUUGACUUAAAGUCUAUUUUGUCUGAUACUAAUAUAGCCACCCCAAUUCUCUUUUGGUUAUCUAUUUGCAUGAAAUAUUUUUUUUCCAACCUUUCACUUUCAACUUACUUGUAUGUUUUGAUUUAAAUUUUGUUCCUUACAGACAACAUAUAGUUGGGUUAUGUUUUUUAAUCCACUCUGCCAAUCUGUGCCUUCUGUUUUGAGAGUUCACGCCAAUCACAUAUAAUUACUAAUAAUGACUGACUUACUUGUGCCAUUUUGCUACUUAUGUUGUGUGUCUUAUAUCUACUUUGUCCCUUUUCUAAAUUUUUACAUAUAUAGUAAAAAAAAAAAUAGCUGUUCUAGUGAACAUUGUCCCAGCAUCAUCUAAUGAGAUAACAUUAGCCCCAAUUCUUGGCUUCUCUUUGUCCUGUUUCCCCACUUCGUGCAGAAAAAAACACAAAUCAACUCCAUCACGGGAAAAUUGAGCCUACUAAUGAAUUCAUGCACAUAAAUUACAUUGAGACCACCAGCUGAAGGAUAACUUAUAAAUACAAUAAACCUGUCAUCAUUAUUAUUCAAACAGCAUUCUGAAUGUUCAGAAUAAAAAAAAGUAAAGAAAAAAUAUUGCCAUCAGCAGGUUCCCUGGAAACUGGGAACUGAGUAGCCGGCAAAAGGGGAGAUCUAACAAAAAUCUAAAGAAAAAGUAAUGACAGUAGCAGGGUUUCCCUUCCAAGACGAACGGAAUAAGGAAUUGUCAGAGAAGAAAUGUUAAUAACUAGCAGAGCGAAGUAUGUGAAAUGUCAAAGAGACGUGAGAUAGAAACAGAAAGACAAAAAAGUCCUAAUCUAGAAGAUAAAAAGAAAAAAUCUGAGAAAAAGAAAGGGUGUUCACUAGAACAAAUGAAGAUGCUUCUUCUGUGUUGUGCAGUCUUCUAUGGGCUGAAAUACCCAGAAAAAAGGUAUAGUAAAGAAUAAAAAUCAGGAAUACCCUGAAAAACAUACACCAGUAUUUUUAAAUAUUUCUUAGUUAAUAUAUAUAUAUGUUUAAAUACAUUAGUUUUUAAAUGCCAUCACGUCAAUUUCCCAAUACUUUUUUUCUUAGUCGUAAUUAACGUUCAAACUUAAAUGGGUUUUGUCACACCUGUUUUCUUAGUAGAAAGAUAAGAGGAAGGAGAGAGACAGCAUCUCAAAAAAAACACUCUUUUUUGAAACCUUGUGCACUUCACUCAAAUUGUAUCUUAGACACCUUAUGUGUAAAAUGAGAUGAUCAGACUACAUUUUAAAAUUCAAUAAUUCUUCAGGGAAAACUGAGUUUUUACUGCAUGAAUACUAAUUGGAAGAAACAUUCUAAAUGGCACUUCAAAGUCGAAUUGCUGUUUUUAACCUUAGUAUGCAACUCGGAAUAGGAAUACUUUCUGUGUUGCCUCAAAUCAUAAAUGAAAACUAUUCAAAAAAGCUAAUUUGGUACAGCUGGGAAGAGAUCUGAGGCUGUAUGUUAAUCUAAUGACUGUUUAGUAUGAGAAAUUAUAACUUAAAUAUUUUAUAUGAAUUUGGCUACUCAUUAAUGUUUUACAGCAUUUCAAAAUGAGUUAUUUUAAGAUCAGGAACUAAAAAUAGUGGCAUUUUCUUUCAAAGAAACCAGAGAUAACUAAACGUAAAAGCAUAACUUACAGAGACAUUUUAUUUUAGAGCUUAUGCAAAAGAACUCCAGACAUUAAUAAAGCAUUUUGAGUCAAGUGUAUUUGGAAAUCUGCAGGCAAUGAAAGAAUCUACAAGAUUGAAAAAAGAAUCAACUACAUUCGUAUUAAAAUCAGGAUGAAGGCUUAAGGAAGAGUUUUCAUGCGUAGGCUUGACUUAGUCAUAAUCAAGAGAAAGGACAUAAAAGUGAGGGUGAGAAUAAAGAUGGCAAAAGAGAGGAGAUAAUUAUAAGCAGUGUCCCAGAGAACACUUAAGUAGUUAGAAUCCAGUGCUCACGUAGAAGGGUUUCCCCCGACAAGACAGAAAAGCAACUGUUCCUAAAAGAAAGAAGCGAAGGGAGAAGGGGAAGGCAAGUGUAACUAGCCACUAGUUGCCAAGACAUUUAGCUUCUUCUGGGCUGUGUUUCUCAUCUUCACAUCUAGUUCUAAACCACUCCUUCUUGGCCACCAGUAUGUGGAAGUGCUCUCUGACUUCAUGUUCAAAUCCCCCUCCUUGUGUCCCAAGUCUCGCUUCCAUUUUGAUUACCACUUUCUGGGUACUCCAUCGAUCUGAUUGAGUUCCAUGGCUGGGUCCUCACUUGAAUUUCCCAACUUACCUUGGAUAUUCCUGCCUGAAAUUUCUACAUUUUACACUCUUUUGGUACUACCCACCCAUAACCCCAAGACUGUGACUAUCUACUCAAGUUACCCAAUGUUUGAAUUGUCUGAUCAACAUAGUUCAUCUAUGCCACCAUCUAGAUUGUUGUGAUAUGUAAUACACAAGUGUUAUGCUCUUAGUAUCAGUGUGUACUUAUACUGAACUGCUUAUUAGCUGGAAACAACACAUAUUAUUUACAAUGAUAUACUCAUAAAGAUAUUUAUAUGUGUAUAAUUAUCUUAAUAACUGUAUUAAAGAUUUAACAUGAAUAAACAUGUCAUUAAUAUCAAGCAAAUUUUAAAUUACUUUAGCGCCUAGUUGAUGAUUAGCGCCUAGUUGAUCUUGUAUAUAGCUACUCGACAAAAUUUUGUAAAUGCAAGACAAUGUUUUCCAUUUCCUAUGAUUAUUCUGUUAUCAAAUAUUAACAUUUGGCAUUUUAAUAAAAGAAUGGGGACUACUUUUAUAAUUAAUAAAACAGAUCACUAUUUUCACCUGGGAAUUUUUAUUGGAACUUGCAUAAAAGAUCUGGAAGGAAAUGGAGAGUAAAGGUUAUUUUGGUUCUAUGAAAAGAGCAGUUCUUAUUUUGCAGUCCUUUGGAGCAAUUUAGUUUUAACUGAUCUCCUUAUGAAAUUAAAGUUUCAAUAGCAUCUACAUUCUUCCUCAGGGCAUCCAGCAAUCAUUAAAAAAAUAGAAUAAUAAUGGAAUGAAAAAAAAAACUAAUAAAUGGGGUUGCACUAAUAUUCCCACAUUUGUCUUUAAAUAUUAGUGGGUACUUUUCAAAUGAAAAGCACAUGGGCUUAAUUAAGCCCUGUUAUCUUUCUAAUUUUACCAGAAAUUUUAAAAAUAAAAUGAGAGACCUUACCUAAAAAACAAGGGUCAUUUAAUUUCCUUUACAUUGUUCAGUAAUCUUUUUCUUUUACAUUUUAAUGAGAAAGAACAUGCAUGCCUAAAUGUUUAUAGAUUCUUUCCACUUUAAAGCUCUGUACCUUACUAGAUAUAUUUUUAUUAUUGAUGUUAAAUAUAAAAAUAAACUUCUUAAAAAAUAUGUAAUUAUAAAAAUUUUAAUGUUAUUAAUGCAAAAGGAACCUGUUAGAAUCCUUGAUUUCGGUGGCAAAGAAUAACAUCUCUAUACCAUUUCCACAGUACAAGAAAAAUACAUAGACAUGUAUAGUAUAAUAUGUGUAGAAUAUAAUAAAUAUAAC